rnacentral:lncRNA from 1 species
AAUGUUGAUCUCGGAGGUCCUACUGAGGAGGCACGACGCCCUGUCUAUCCGAACCUAUGGGCAUGAACAUAGCGCAUAAAAAGGCGUUAGUACAAAAAUAUAUACUGAAUAUAUAGGGCGACAAGUGUAACAUGAAAAAUGUAAUAACAAGAGAGACAAUCUGGAAACUAGCCUUGAUAGGAAAUGAAAACUUAACACAGAUAUAAAUGUAUGCUCGUGGAAUCGUCGUUCAUUAACGCUACUUAUAAUAUGUCACAUUAUAUAAUAAUAAAUCCCUCCGUUGGGCUACAAUAUUCAUAACAUAUCCAACUAUAAUAAAGGCUCGGUAGAAUCAUACUCGGCCACGUGAAACUUGGUAAUUCCAACUGAUUAGUGAUCACACAAUAUAUAUCAUAUCCGGCUGACUAUAAUGUGGCUCGGUAAUAAAAGUAAAUACAUACAUAUAUAAGUGCAAUGUGAAACUAACCUUUAAAGACGUAUUCUAAGAAGAGUCAAAGUGGCCUAUCAUCAUUAUUCCCCGACUAUCAUGGUUGUCGCCAAAAUAAUUUAAUUUUCAACUACGAGCCAAUAAGUGUACCUUUUGAAGUGAGGGUUACUUUUUGGCGAACAUUAUUCAUGAUUUAUAUGAACGUCGAAAGAAGAACGAGUAAAAAGGCUCUAGUUCUUUUCAAGCAAGGAACAAGAAAAACCGAGAAUUCAUAAAUAUUCUCUGAAGUAAGCAAUGUAUGAGAAAGGACUAGGUCUAAGCAUCUUUGUGAGUUGAAGGUGAAAUAACUCGAAUCUGAUGAAACAAUUCAAUAAACAUUUAUUCAAAUUCUAGUCAUGCCGAAAAGUAUAGCGAAAGCCCUACAUACCUUGUCGAUGGAUUUAUAUACGGUUUCCGAGACCUCGAAAGCCUUAGGAAUGGUUUCCUACAUAAUACGAACCAUUCAAUAUAAAAUUCAAGUUCAUAUCUUAUAUAAUUCUUUAGUUAGACAUUUAAGCGAACAACUUGCAUUUAUAGUUUAAUUUCCCCGCAACACAUUACCAAAUUUUACUUUAAUACAUCGACACAAUUCCAUCCAUGUCUUCGCAGAUCCAAACAACACAAUACGACCAUCUAGAACAACCCAAUAAUCAAGUCAUAUUAAGAGAUGUUUCUUAAAAAAGUCAAGAACAUUUCUAUAGAGGUUUGAACUAUUUCUUAGGAAUUCUUAUGGUAGAACUUUACAAAGAUCAAAGAGGAAGUUAAAUUAUACCUUAUAUGAUCAGAAUUACUUUAAAUUCGAGAUUAAUCCUAGGCAAAAUCUUCCUACGAAAAGUGAAACACCGAAGAAUUCACGAUUCCGAAGUUACCAUGAUGUUCUCCAUCUUGAGGAUGACUCAAUUGUUGUUAUGAUUGGCUAGAAGGAUGGGAGGAGUUUGAGAGGAAUUUCCAGGUUUUAUGUUCUGUUUUAAAUAAACUUUAAAUUUUUUUAAAACUAAAACCAACUAAGCACUCUGCUCCGGUAGCAGUGUAUGAAGAUAUUAAUAUCUCUUUACUCACAAAUUCGUAUUAACAAACGGUUUGUUGCGUUAGAAACUAGAAUCAUAGACUUUUGAUUGGGUGGGUAGAAAAUGCUAUAAUUCCUAGUAUAUUGAUAGAAAAGCUCAUCAAUAUUUUUUCCAAAUUUCAGUAAAAUUUGAAACCCGUAAUUUGCGGCGAUCUUUGUCGACUUUUUAAUCACAACUCGAAUGUUUUUCAAUCUUAAUGUAUAACUAUCACAUCAUUUAAGUAUCUCAAAGAAAUUAUCUUCAUAUCGAAUUAGCCCCUUUACAAUAUGAUAACGCGUGAUUCACAAAGUGUAACAUUCUCUCCUCCUUAAGAACACUCGUCCUCGUAUAUUAAUGAUUAACCUAACUUCUGAAUUUUUUUAAAAAAUUUUGCCAAAGUUUUCCAUGUAAACAGGACUAUCCAAAACCUAUCAUCAGCCCAAACAUACAUAUCCAAGGCCACACAUGGCUACACAUCAUAACAUCAACUUGGCCCUACACAACCGUUUACUUAUACAAUAUUGAUAAUUAGAAGGUUAGCCAUAACUUAAUUUCCUCAGCUGUCACUGGUUGAUAUCUUUGCAACACCUGCCAUAUUUGUCUCAAGCAUAUCACCUACAAAGUAUGUAUGGAUUAAGGUCUAUAUGUAAAAUAGUACUAAAAGGAUUGUAUCGCACAAGUCUUGAUAUAAUCCUGAAGACUCAAAUAAAUGAGUCUAUCUAGACUUCAUGUCCUCUUCGGCCUCCCAUGUCAUUUCCUCUACAUUAUUGUUCCUCCAAAGUACUUUUACGAAGGCUACCUCUUUAGUCCAUAUCUUAUAGAUUUGAUGGCCAAGAAUGGCAACAAGUAUUUUUGCAUAUGACAAGUCCUCGGUAACUUGAAUAUCCUCGAUAGAGCUGAUGCAAAAAGGAUCACCUAAGAAUUUGUGAAGCAUGGAAACGUGAAAUAUCAGAUGGAUUGCAUCUAAUUCCGGUGGCAAGUCAAGUUUGUAAGCUACCCGCCCAAUUGUCCGAACAAUCUGAUAUGGCCCAAAAUAUCCACGGCUGAGUUUUCCCUUCUUGCCAAAUCUCAUUUCACCCUUCAUAGGUGAAACUAUCAAGAAUACCCAGUUUCCCACAGCAAAUUCCAAGUCUCGACAUCGGUUAUCUGAAUAUGGUUUCUGUCGACUUUGAGUUGUAUGCAACCUUUCUUGGAUCAACUUUACCUUUUCUACGGCUUGCUGUACCAAUUCGGGUCCUAGCAACAUUGUCUCACCAAUAUCAAACUAGCCAAUAUGAGAUCUGCAUUUCCUCUCAAAUAGUGCCUCGUAUGGUGCCAUCUGAAUACCGGCGUGAUAAAUAUUAUUAUAGGCAAACUCAACAAGCGGUUAAUGAUCUUCCCAACUUCCCUUGAAGUCUAAUAUGCUAGCUCGCGAGUGUUUGAAUAGUGCAUUUGACUUGUCCAUCGGUCUAUGGAUGAAAUGUUGUACUAAGGUUAACAAGAGUACCCAAACCUUCUUGAAAAGACCUCCAGGAAUUAGCUGUAAAUUGGGCACCUCUGUCAGAUAUAAUAGAAAGUUGAACUGCAUGUAGCCUAACUAUUUCCUUGAUAUAUAGUCUCGCAUAGCCUUCAGCUGAAUAGGUGGUCCUAACUGGGAGAAAGUGAGCCGAUUUCAUCAGCCUAUCCAAGAUGAACCAAAUAGAAUCGAACUUCCGAUAAGAAUUGGGCAAUCCUGUAAUGAAAUGCAUAUUAAUCGAUUCCCAUUUCCAAGCUGAAAUCUCAAUAUUUUGAAGUAGCCCUCCAGGUUUCUAGUGUUCAGCUUUAACCUGCUUGUAGUUGGGACACUGAGCCACAAAUGCAGCUAUAUCUUUCUUCAUAUCAUUCCACCAGUAUAGCUAACGAAGAUCAUGAUAACCAGGAUGAACUGAGCACCGAGACUGGUGCAUAUCUAUCAUAAUUUGCUUACGAAGCUCCCGAACAUUAGGUACACACCAUCGCGCUUAUAUUUUAGAAUUCUAAGAUUGCUCGAACAACUGCUUUUCUGAAAAGGGAUGCUCUCUCCAUCGCCCUUAUAUUUUAGAAUUCUAAGAUUGCUCGAACAACUGCUUUUCUGAAAAGGGAUGCUCUCUUUGAUCUUGACUAACUCCGGAUCCUCAAAUUGACGCAUUUCUACUUUAGCUAUCAGUGAUGACCCUGCAAUAUUUUGGACUACUACACUCUGGUCAACUGUAUUAUGUGGCUGCAAACUCAGGUUAUCUAAUCAAUAUAGCUCCUUAUUUAUUUCUAAUUUCCCAACUUCUACAUGCUUGAAGUUGCCUAUGGAUUUGCGACUCAACGCAUUAGCUACCACAUUCGCUUUGCCCGAAUGGUAAAAAAUAUCCGCAUCAUAGUCCUUCAGCAAUUCAAGCCACCUCUCUUGUCUCAAGUUCAACUCUUAUUGCUUAAAUAUAUAUUGUAAAAUUUUGUGAUCUGUAUAGAUAUCCACAUGAACACCAUAAAGAUAUUGACACCAUAUUUUUAAGGCAAAUAUAAUGGCAACUAACUUAAUAUCAUGAGUCGAAUAAUUGUGUUCAUGCUUCCGCAACUGCCUCGAAGCAUAUGCACUAACUUUGCCAUGCUUCAUUAGAACACAUCCCAAUCCAACCCUAGAUGCAUCACAAUAUACCACAUAACCUUCAUAUCUCUUAGGAAGUGCUAGAACAGGUGUUGAUGUUAUGCGUUUCUUCAACUCAUGAGAGCUCCUUUCACAGGCAUCAAACCAUUGGAACUUAACAACUUUGUGUGCCAAUUUUGUCAUAGGAGUAGUAAUAGAAGAGAAGUUCUUCACAAAUCUACGAUAAUAAUCAGCUAAGCCCAAGAAACUACAAACUUUUGUAAAAGUUCUGGGUCUAGGCCAAUUUUGUAUUGCUUCAAUUUUCUGAUCAUCUACCAUAAGCCCAAGGAAAGCCACCGAAUUCAACCAGAACUCACAUUUGGAGAAUUUAGCAUAUAAUUUUUGAUUUUUCAGAGUAUGCAACACCACAGUGAAAUGAUCCUCAUGUUUUUCUUCUGAUCAAGAAUAUAUUAGAAUAUCAUCAAUGAAAGUAAUUACAAAGGUAUCUAGAAAUGGCUUGAAAACCCGAUUCAUCAAAUCCAUAUAAGUUGUUGGCAUAUUAGUAAUACUGAAAGACAUCACAAGGAAUUCAUAAUGGCUAUAUCUAGUUAGGAAAGCCAUUUUCAGAAUUAUUCUCUCUCCUUAACUCGCAAUUGGUGAUAGCCGGAUCGAAGGUCAAUCUUUGAGAAAUAUUUGGCACCUUGCAACAGAUCAAACAAAUCAUCAAUUCUGGGUAGGGGUAUUUGUUCUUGAUAGUCACUUUGUUGAGCUAACAAUAGUCAGUACACAUUCUUAAUGAAUCGUCCUUGUUAUUAGCAUUGGUACACCUCAGGGAGAUGUAUUGAGCCUGAUAAAGUCCUUAUCUAGAAGAUCCUCCAACUAGGCUUUUAAUUCUUCUUAACUCAGCAGGAUCCAUUCUGCGUGAAGGAAUAGAUAUUGGCUGAGUAUCUGGAAGCACAUCGAUAGAAAAGUCGAUUUCUCUUUUAGGAGGAAGACGGGAAGUUCAUCGGUAUAUACAUCGGGAAAUUCAUUCACGACGGGAACCAAUUAAUGGGUUGGAGAUUUCAUCUCCAUAUCAUGAAAUCGUACAAUACCCCUUCAAAAUCAUCAUUCGAGCUUUAAGGUAAGAAAUAAACUUCCCCUUAGGAGCUGCAACAUCAGUUUUCCAUUCAAUAUUAGGCUCGCCUGGAAAAUUAAAAUGAACAAUCUUUGUCCAUCAAUCUACAUCGGCAUAUCAAGAAGCCAACCAAUCCAAACCUAUAAUGAUAUCAAAAUCAACAUUUCUAGCUUAUACAAAUUUGCUAACGUAUGGCGGUCAUGAAUCUUCAUGUCACAACUUCGAUAUACCUGUCUAACUACAACAGAAUCACCCAUUAGCGUAGAUAACUCAAAUGACUUAUGCAACAAUUCAGGCUCUCUAUCCCAUUUACUAGCAAUGAAGGGGGAGAUAGACGACAAUGUAGAACCAGGAUUUAUAUGGGCAUACAUAUAGAUAGAAAAGACAUAUAAUAUACUUGUAACCACGUUUGGAGAUGACUCUAAAUCUUGACGACUCAAUAAAGCAUAUAUGCGAUUCUGCUGACCUCCUGAACCAGAAGCUCCUACUUUUCUCCUACCCUUGUCAGCUGAUGUCUGCAUACUCUGCCUAGGAGGACGUACCAAAGAAGAAGAAGAAGAAGCCCCUGUAUAUGCCGUCGGCUGAGCCAUACCCCCAUCGUCUGUCAUCAGACAAUGUCUUGUAAUAUGACCUGGUUGUCCACAUGCAUAACAUGCAUCAGAACCCUAGCGACAUGGUCUAAUAUGAUUUCGGCCACAUCGAUCACAUCUGGGAAACUAAGGCCUCAUCUGACUAAACUCGCCUCUAAACUGUGGACCCGAGGUCCGUGAACUCUCACCCGGACCAGAAUAAGUAGUCCGAUCAUGUCGCUGUCCCUAAAACUGUGAUGACACACUGGCUAUCGAAUAAGAUGUACACUAGGAAAUUGUGGCCUAAAUCUACCUUGAAACUCUCAUGUGUUAUAUGUGAACCACGCCCUAUUCUGUUGGCCUCUAUCAUGCUCUUGAUUGGCUUGUUGUUGCCUCUUGCGAUCCUCUAGAACCUAUGAAUAUGCUUGAAUAGGGGCAAUAUCUGUUCCUUAGUUUGGAGAAACUGUAGUGCACUCAUUUAUCAAGUGUUCCCCCAAUCCACUAACAAACUAGUGUACCUGAUCACUCAUAUCAGCAACAAUCGUUGGAGUAUACCUGGCCAAAGAGUUGAAUUGCAUGCUAUUUCCCAAAUGUUCAUAUUACCCCGUUCUAAGUGUAAGAACCUAUCUUGUCGGGUUCUUUGAAGCUCAACUGGCAAAUAUUGCUGUAAAAAUUCCUCAGAGAACUCCUUCUAUGUCACUGGUGGUGCAAUAGGACCCCGAGUCUGCUUCUAAGUCUCAUACCAUGUCACAACAAUAUAACAUAGUCUAUAAGAAGUAAACUCCAGUGUCGCAACAUCUAUGGCAUGUAUAAUUUGUAAGGUCCGUUGCAUAAGAUCUAGAAAAUCUUGUGGGUCAGCAUUAGGAUCAGCCCCUAUAAAUACUGGAGGAUCCAAGUUGAUAAAGUCCCAAAUUCUCGCACUCACGGACCUAUCAGCAACACCGAGGCUCUAGUGUCGGGCAUGGGAGGCCACUAUUCGAGUCAAUAAUUGUAUAACACUUCGCAUGUCUAGGUCCUGAUUAGGAACAACUGCGGGAGGGACUAGAGGUACAUUAGCUCCUCUAUAUCCUCCGGGGGGUGGUAGGGGUGCUUCCCCGGAAGCCUGAGAAUCAACCUCAUUCUGUGGCUCACGUUGAUCUACAUUAGCAGGUAGCACCUGACUUGUGCCCUCUCCCGCCUCCUCAUCCAACCUCUGAAUAAAUUUCAUAGCCACUUGUCGUCUCGUAGUAUUAGGCAUCACUGAGAAGGUAAACAAAAAGAGAAUUAGGAACGAACACAUAUGAUUAGGCUCUAUUGCACGAUCUAGAUCAAGAAGAAAGUAAUAAUUCUAAAUGCACAAUAGCCUCAUGUUUAUAAGUGUGGUGCACAACACACCAUAAACAAGACUCUACUUGUGAGCUUGUGAUUUUUGCCUCACGUGAAUUACUCCUAUAAAAUUCUUAGAUUUAAGAUUUUUCCUUUAAUUAUUUGAUUUUUAGGACUAAUUGCAUAAUUUUCGCGUUUGUUUGCAUUUUUGUGUGCAUUUUUAAUUUAGAUAAUUCAUACAAAAAAAUAUUUCACUUGCAUUUAGGAUUUAAUUUUACAUAUUUUUAAAAUUAAUUGGUAAUUAGGGUUAUUCAAAAAAUACAAAAAUAAAAUAAAUUGGUUUAUUUUUGCCUCGAUUAGUUUUACCUUUGAUUUUUGCUGAUUUCCUUUAAAUUGGUAUUUGAUUAUUUGAGUUAAUUAGGGUUUAAUAUAAUUAGGUAGAUUAAUUAAAUUUUUAGGAUUUAAUUCAGUCUUAUUUUAAUUUUAAUUUUAGUUUUUGAAAAAGAAAAGAAAAGAAAUUCAAAUAAUUGGGUCUAUUAAGUGCAAUGCCCAAAAUUUGGGCCAAAAUACCCCAGUUCAAUAAUUAAACCCCAAACCUGGUCCAAAUUCCCUCUGAGCCGACCCAAAACACAUGCCUCAACCCGGUCUCUCAUUGAGACAGCCAAACGACGUCAUUCCUUAGCCAAAUGAUCUGAGCUGUCAAGGUCUCAUGAUCUAACGACCAAGAACUCAAUGCCACAAACUAUAUAGAUGUCCAAACGGACCCUACCCCCUCAGAACCCCCUACCCCUCUCAUCUCCCCUCUCAGCCAAACCUCAGAGACCACCCAUAAUUUCGCCGCCCAUCGCCGUCUGCCGCCGGCCGAAAAUCGUCCACGGCGGAGGCGGGUCUCCAAUAGCCACCAAAUUAACACCCCAGAUUUUUCUCCUUCUCCUCUUUCCAAAUCUCCAAAUUCCAUCCUCAAAUCUCGCAUGAGCUUCUUAAAUAUCGCUAAGAAACUCUGACCCUUCACCGUGACCAGCGGUGCCACCGCCCUAUCUCCACCAAAUUUACACCGUAGGAUCUCCUCCACCCCCACACCACAAAUCCCGCACCCAUCUUCCCCAAAUCUUACCCAAGGUUCACGAAUCUUAAAUUCAAUUUAUCCCUAAAAUAUGGAAAAGGGGUUUGUUGACGAUUUUGACUCUAAUAGGUCUUAGUCGUGUGUUUUCACAUGAAAACACACGAUUAAGGACAUUUUCAGUCAAAGAUUCAAAGUAUUCUGCCGGAUCUCGUGAUUUAACUUUGGCCAGUUGCUAGGUAUUUUUCCUUGUUCAUUUCAUUUUGUUUUGUGUUCUUUUCUCAGUAUUUCAUUUUCAUUUCUUAUUUAUGUUUUUGAUUUGGUUGUAAUUGAUAGUCAUCUUAGGCUUCUGCAUGCCUGAAAAAUUAUUGCUUGGUUCAUGAGUUUAGGAUUUAUUAUUAGUUAGUUAUUUGUUUAUUCUUCUUGUCUCGCUUUUUUUUCUCUCCUUGUCUAAUCGAGUAGAAGUUUCUGAGUCAUAUGUAAUUUGUAGGUUGUCAGAAUAGACGUGUAUAUUAGGCAAUGGUUAAUUGCAAGGCGUAGUUUUUGUUAUUGACUUCUGUAGUGUUAAUUGGUCUUCUUCUUCUACUUCUGGACCCAAUUCAAAUUUCUUGGUUUGAAAUUUGGUAUGAGUCUAUUUGGACUUCUGAAUUGGGUCCAUUUCAGGGUGGGUUGAAAGCCCAAGGAAAAAAAGUCAAUCCAGUUAAGGCUAAAUGUUGGGUCAACUUGACCCAUGAGCUGAAGGUUGGCUAAUUGACCAAAAUAAAAUUCAGAAGUUUAAAGGGUAAAAUGGAUAAUGCAUCUAGGGAAUCUUUAGUGCAACCGAUUUGGAAGCUUCUAGUGAGGGGUCUUAGUGAAAUUUCAGAUAUGUAGUUAUUAAACUUGGGUAGCAAGUAACAAUUUCAAGGGUUCCUAAGCUAAAACAAAAAUUAAAAAGGGACGCAAUUGCUAAAACAAAAAUCUCCAGGGUGCCCUAAUUAUUUGCCUAUAAAGGCAUUACACCCCUGACCUUGAGAGGAGAUUUUUUUUUAAAAACAUUUGGAGAGACAAAAUAAGAGUUUAGAGUACCUGCAGAUUUUUAGAGUUUCUGAGAACCUGAAAUUUGAGAGCCUAGUCUAGAGAGAGAUUUUCAGGAACUUAUGAGAUUUUCUUCCAAAAAUACUGUUCCAUUGAUCCUUACUGUUGAUUUCUGAAGUUAAAACAACAUUUUAGUAGCUGAGAGUUAAAAUACCAGAACUUCGAUUCAGGGUUCAAUAAUUCGACCUUAGAAUAAUUGUUAUGAUUGACUUUAUCUGAUUUUCCUACAUGUUUCAUGCUAAAUAUGCUAAAUGUUUUACCACGUUGAUAUUCUGUGAAUUGUAUAUAUAAACUGCUACGAAACCCUUCAUCUCUUUGAGUCUUAUACAUCAUGGAGAAGGCUGCACUUCGUGUGACUUCUCUUCUGUUUAGAGUCUUAUCCCAUUUUAGAACAAGGUUCGGACAAGUUGCUAAGUCGGCGAAGCUUCUGUAUUCCCGGCAUGCUCCCCCCGGCUCGAGUUGUCCGCUCGGGUAAGCCAGGUCUAGAACAAUAAACCCAGGUUUUAAACCUAGUAUAACAAAUUCUCAUGCCGGAUCCCUAGUAGGAGCGUUUGUUUGCAUCACGUGCAUUUGACUUAGGGGACUCAACAUAGGCGUUGGGCCGUCUAGGACAGGUGACCUGAAAUGAAAAGACCAUCAUGAUGCAUCUUACUUGCUACUUGUGCAUUUAUUUGCUUCGGAUCUGUAUGUUGACCGACUUAUAAAUAAUGGGAGAGAGUUGAAAAGAAAAUAGCGAUGUUAGAGUAAAUGAGGGUAGUCACCCGUUUUGAAAAACCAAUACCCAAAUGGUACCGGAACUCUGCCGAAAUUUCGAGAAAAAAGAAGAAGAAGAAGAAGAAGAAGAAGAAGAAGAAGAAGAAGAAGAAAACAAAGAAAAAGAAAAAGUUUUUAUUUUCAAAAUAGUUGGUUUUGUCAAAUCCGCCUGAACUACGCCAGUUUGAUUCCCAUCGGACAUGGGAUAAAUAGGCAACCUCCAUCGGGUCCAACUUCUCUUUUUGAAAAAAAAAGCCAAAAGCCACAAAAUUUUUUAAUCUUAGUCACAAAUAAUUCGGGUGAUGCCAUUCUUCUUUACAAUAAGCCGAAUGUCCUCAAAAGGGUUCCAGAAGGCUAGUUUUGUUAGAACAGCCACAUUGGAUCAUUUCCAACGGCUAGGAGGCACAACCUUUAAAUCUUCUUCCCCGAAGUUCUAAAAGGCCGUACCGGCAAAGCCAGGGUUUUGUUUAAAAAAAAUGAUUUUUUUUGAAAAAAAGAUAUUGUCAUUUCUCAUUAAAAUAAGUCAUUAAAUCGCUUUAGUAAAUGUGUAGGAUGAGCAUGAACAAAAUUGAACCCUUCACAGUCCUUAAUGAGAUCCCACUGAAGCUUCACAUGUGGUUGAAUGAUCUAGAAAAGGGCAGUAAAGAAACAGUGGUGAAAGUUUUAGGAGGCCUUGUCAGACUAUUAAACAUCAAGUCGAGGUCGGACAUUAUUGAAGCUUUAAUACCUUUCUGGUACCCGACUUGCAACGUGUUCUGUUUCUCUGAAUAUGAGCUCACACCUACAUUGGAGGAAGUUGCGGGUUAUGCGGGCCUCAAUGGAAAUCUUAGAAGUUUAUAUCUGCUGUCACCAAGGCUGGUAUCCCCUAUAUAUUCCUGGAUUUGCUAAGUAUUAGUCGGGAUAUUCAAGACAGAAAUCUAUCUGAAGGGUAUUGCACACUCCAAUUUUAAUAUCAUCGAUAUGGCAACCCCCGAGGUUUCAAAGAGCCAAAUACCGGUCUAACCCAUUCUGGAAAUAAAGACAAAUGGGAGGCAAGGUGGGGUUUAGCUUUUAUGGUAGCUUUCUUGGGUGUUGUAGUCUUUGGCGAAAAGAUGGAAAUAGGUCUUGUGGGAAGGAUCGAUGUUGCAAUCAAGAAACCCAACACCACUGUGGUUCCUCUAAUCGUUUCUGAAAUUUACCAAGCCUUGACUAUCUGUCGGGAAGGGGGAAAGUUCUUCUAAGGUUGCAAUUUUCUACUUCAAUUAUGGAUACAAGAACACCUCUUUCACCGAGUUGGGUGCAUGAAUUAUGGUUUGACCGGUCUGAGCUGCAUUGAAGAAUUUGAAAGACGGGUAGCAAGUAUUGAAUUCCCUACGGGUACUAAAGCUUGUCUUGUACAUUUGAGAUCCUUCACUGCCGAUAAAAUUGAAUGGGCUUUUGGAUGGCUUCCCGUUACCGAAGUAGUGUACAUGUCAGCUGAAGUAUCUUAUAUCCUCUUGAUGGGCAUUCGGAUCAUCCAGCCUUAUGCUCCCUAUAGAGUGUUGCGCCAAUUGGGAAGAUUUCAAGAUGUCCACAAUGAUGAAGAUUUGAGUAAACAUGCCAUUGAGCUGGGCCAAAAAGCUGCAUUUCCAGAAAGGAAAAUUCGCCAAGUGUGGAAUGAGUGUAGGUUUCUUGAACCCAAGAUCAUAGUGCGAGACCGAGAUAGAGGUGAAGUGGAACCCAAGUACCUUGACUGGUUGACAAGAAAUUCUAAAUUCGUAAAAAGCCUAUAAAGAGACCACAUGUCCAAUAAUUCACAGUUUAAGCACAACCACAAUGGGAGUGGUUGGCCAAAGAGAAUGAAUACAAAGCCAAAAUAAGCAAAUUGGAAAGGCAAGUCAUGGAGCUUCAAUUUGAAAAUGGUGUUCAAGCCGUAGAAAAUUAGGGAGAAAAGAAAAAACAGACAAAAUGAAGCCUUUAAUGCUCAGAUCAGAAAGAUGAAAACAACUGCCAGUAACCCCGAAAGAAGUCAGGAUGAUGAAAGACUUAUAAGUGGACUAUUAAAGAAACUCCUUGAAUAUCAAGAAGACCUGGAAAACUCUGAAGAUAGUCUAGUAAAAAUCGAGUCACGAUGGACAAAGAAAGCAGAUGAACAUACACAAUUUUGUAGAAAAUGAAGACAGAUUCUAUGAAGGGACCAUUACCAGCUUAAGAAGAAAGGUAACUACUCUUGAGGAUGAGGCAACCAAAUGAUCUAAAGAUUUCAAGGCUUAUAGGGAGCAUUGUUAUAAUCUGAUGGCUAAAAUGGAGGAAGCAAUACAGUAAAUGCAAGACCAACACUUUCAUGACUCCUAAGUGUUAGAAGAUCGAAAUUGGCAGAUAGAGUGACUACUUCAGGAAAAAGGCAGAAUUAGAGAAAGGAUUAGAACCAUCGGUGACUACAUUACCAUGAAGUGCCAAGUGCACGAAUACAUUACUAGUACCACCUUCUUUGCCACGGUGGUGACUUUUGUCCGGCAAGUGAUGAGUGAUUUGGAGCAACUACAAGGGAGUCUCGCACAUAAGUCUGCGCUGAAGCCGAAUGAUGCCCCGCGGGCCCAAGUAAUGGAAGCAUUAAUGUAUUCCUGAGUAUUCAAUCAUCGAGUUUGUAUUAUUUCUUUAUGUUGAGUCUGUAGUUUUAUUUCUAAGAAAAAGAGUAGUUAACAUCUUUUGUAAUAGAAUUUUAAUUUAUGAAUUUGAAAAUCCCCAAAAAUUAUUUCUUUACUUUUCGUAUUUAUUUCUCUUAAACUACGUAAUGAUCUGAUUCACGGGGCAUCAUGAUACGUAGGCAAUCCUCAUCGGAUCCGGUUAUAAUAUCGUAGAUAAAUCCAAUAAGGAAAAGAAAAGAAAAUGAAAAAAUAUAGAUGAAAAGAAAAGCAAAAAAAGAGAGAGUGAAAUCAAAAAAAGAGAAAAUGGGAAAGAAUGAGAAAAGUCGGGACGAAGCAUGUAUCUGUUGCAAAACAUGUAACAACCCAUUUACUUGCAUAGGGGCAUCACACUCUAGCGUGUGACUACCUAUCUGUUAUUUGUCACAAACUAAUUGUUUGCUGCUAUCCAGUUCCAGGGUUUUAUUGAACGGUGGUUGGUUUUAGUGGUAACCUAGCUUCAUACCCAUACUUUACUAGAUUAAAGGGGAGCAUCGAAAUGUCUUCAAAAAUGACUCUACCAACGGUUCCCAUUUCAGAUGAUGGCCCCGUUGCAGGCAUCCCGACCUCUGAAUCGGCAGCUGCCGAAGAGAACAAAAUCAUGCAUCUUAGGGAUAUGGAAAUAUGGGACGAUUGGCUAACGUAAGAGAGCCACAAAGCAUAAUCCCGGUAUUCACUUAACUUUUCCCUAGAAUGAGUGGUACCUCCAAUAUCCCAAUCAAUCAACCAAAUAUCACACUGGGACAUUCAAAUAUAUCAGCUCAUUUCGUGGGAACACCUUCUCAGGUUUGACCCAAGGUGUUCAUAUCCACUAUGGCCCCAAAACAUCUUCACCGCUCUUCCAUGCUCAGCCACAACAUAGCCUGUACUUCCUAGGCCUACUUUUUAUCCUUCAGCCUUUACAUUUCAAACACCUACCCUCCAAAUGGAGCCUCCUUAAUUACCCACCUAUACCUACCCUCAUCUACCUCAAUUUGAGUUGACUCUGGGACAAGAAAAGACUCCAAAAACUCCGGAGCAAGAAGAGAUUGCAAGGAAGAUAAGGAGUAUAGAGCAAAGCCUCAAGAACAUCCAAGGUUUGAACAGGAAGAAAAGUGUGUCUUACGCUGAUCUAUGCAUGUUCCCCCAUGUGCACUUUCCCUUAGGAUUCAAGACUUCAAAAUUUAAGAAAAACGAUGGGCCCGGUGACCCUAUUGCUCAUCUCAAGAAAUACUGCAAUCAGUUGUGAGGGACUGGAGGAAGGGAAGAAUUACUUAUGGUCUAUUCUAAAGAAAGUUUGGUUGGUAUCACCUUCGAGUGGUACAUGGAUCAAGACAUGUCUCGUCGGUACAUUUGGGACGACCUUGCUAGAGACUUUGUCAGACAAUUCUAGUACAAUAUAGACACUGCUCUAGACGAAAACUAAUUGCCAAACAUGAAAAAGAAAACCUCGAAAAGCUUUUGGGAAUACGCAAUCAAAUGGUGUAACCUGGCCUCUAGAGUAAAGCCUCUGAUAGACGAGGUCGAAAUGGUAAUAGUGUUCCUCCAAGCAAAACAAUUUGAUUACUUCCAGUAUAUGAUGUCAGCUAUGGGCAAACCAUUCGCAGAAGCUAUCGAAAUCAGGGAAAUGGAUUAAAAAAGGCAUAAUUCUAAGCCAACCUGCUAUCGGAGCAACCUCCCAAGCUAUUCAAGACAGGUCUCGAGGAGUAGCAAGGGGCAAGAAGAAAGAAGAAACAUUCAUGGUAGCGUAAGGUGCAAGAAGAAACUGUGCUCCCAAAUCCAUGUUUCCAGAAAGGACCCCUCAGCAUUAUUACCCUCGCCAGGAUAUGGCCUUUGCUCCUUAGUCAUAUGCAAUCAUGAAUGCUCAUUCCNNNNNNNNNNNNNNNNNNNNNNNNNNNNNNNNNNNNNNNNNNNNNNNNNNNNNNNNNNNNNNNNNNNNNNNNNNNNNNNNNNNNNNNNNNNNNNNNNNNNNNNNNNNNNNNNNNNNNNNNNNNNNNNNNNNNNNNNNNNNNNNNNNNNNNNGCAUAAGAAGCCGACUACUUCCAGAAUGUGAUGUCAGCUAUGGGUAAACCAUUCGCGGAAGCUAUCAAAAUCAGGGAAAUGGUGGAAAAUGGAUUAAAAACAGGAAGAAUUCUAAGCCAAUCAGCUGUCAGAGCAACCUCCCAAGCCAUUCAGGACAGGUCUGGAGGAGUAGCAAGGGGCAAGCAAAAGAAGAAAUGUCCAUGGCAGCAUCAGGAGCGAGAAGAAACCGUGUUCCCAGAUCCCUGUUCCCAAAGAUGACCCCUCAUCAUUAUUACCCUCACCAGGACAUAGCCUAUGCUCCUCAGCCGUAUGCGAUCAUGAAUGCUCAACCUUUUGUCCAGCCGAAACAAGCCAAUAGGAACUAGCCCCAUUCCCAAGAAACCAGCCUCCUCAUCAAUACCACUAUAACCCACGCCCUCCGUAAAAUAAUUUCCGUCCUCAUGAACCACCCAGGAGGACAAAUUUUACACCAAGUGUGGAAUCCUACUCCAGUUUGUUUCAAAAGCUUGUCUAAAUGGGCCUACUGCAGCCCGUACCUCUAAACAGGCAGAACCCGGAAUCACGUUCUUACCAGCGGGGCACCCGAUGCGCCUAUCACUCAGGGGCUGAAGGACAUAAUACAGAAAACCAAUUGGACCCUAAAACAAGCCGUGGAGGAUCUAAUAGAACAAAGGAAGAUUAUGUUAUGGGACAAGGACAUCCCCAAUGUGACCAACAACCCACUGCCGGCCCACAACAACGGGCCGGUAAUCGGAAUGAUCUCUAAAGACAAGGAAUUUGACCUGAUAUUAAAGGCCAUAAUUGGCAUUGCUGAUGUGGAGAGAAAGCCAAAAACUUCCCUGAAGCAAGAUGAUGGGGAGAAAAAGAACAAAACCUCACACCCCAAAUCAGAAAACAAAAUUUAGGCAAAAACUGGGGCAACGCCCGCCAAAGACGCCGUUCUCUGUGUCCCACGGGGCCGCAAGGAAAAUCAAUCAAUUUUGAGUCCUCCCAAGAGAUUCGAACUAAAUAAAACCACCAAGAUGUAUGUGCCUAGGGAAGCUUAUGUAGUGCAAGGGCCAACUAAUCCACCAAGGCUGAGUGAGCCCGUGGUUAUUGGCCGCACGCCAUAGAGGCCCAUGAAAGAUCCUUCCGCGGUGCCUUAGAACUACCAUAAAACAAUGGCGACAUAUAAGGGAAAAGAUAUCUCUGGAGAAGAAAACUACCUUGUGGAAAAGUACUCCAAUUUGGAAGAAGUGAACAACGCCACUAGAAGCGCUUCCUAGCUAAAAAAUUAGUGAGUGCCAAAAAGAUAGAAGAUUUCUUUCAAAAAAUGAAAAUGACGGAUUAUGAAGUGGUUGACCAGCUCCGAAAAUUUCCUGAACAAGUCUCCUUGCUAUCUUUGUUGAUGAAAUCCCCGAAUACCAGAAGGUACUAGUCAAGACCCUCAAUGAGGCAUGUGUGCCAGCUGAGACCUCCGUGGAGCAAUUAGAAAGAAUGACGGAAAGAUUUUUUGCUAUCAACCAAAUUUCAUUCAACAAAAAUGACCUGCCUUCGGAAGGGGCUAUCACACAUCCUUUUUACACUACACCCCACGAAGGGCAUAGAAAUGGAGUUUUUUUCAACUUAAAGUGACAAUUGAAAUAGGAUUAUUUAUUUAAAAAUUCAGAGUCGCCACUUGGGAUAAUUAAUGGUGUCUCAAGUCACCAGUUUAAAUCCUGAAUCAAGGAAAAUGUUGAUUUUGUAUUAUAGUCUGCGAACCAUAAAUUCGGGGUAAGGAAUUUUGUUACCCCAGGAGAAGGUGUUAGGCAUUCCCGAGUUCCGUGGUUCUAUCACAGUCGCUCAACUGUUAAAUUCAGCUUAAUUAUCUUAUUUUAAACAAUUAUGAACCUAUGUGCAAAUUUGAACUUAUGACCGCUUUUAUUUAAUUUUAAGAAAAUUGCAACGUUGUUAAAACGUGUCUUGGACCAUGUUACAUAAAUGCACCCGCGGUCCUCGACAUAUUAUAACAUUGAGAUUUGGAUUUGGAUCACGUAAAUGCACACUCGAGUUUAGGAAAAUAAUUUUUAUAAUAACGCGCCUAAGGCAACUACCAAUUUCAUUUAUUCAACUUUUAAAAAUCACAUGGCUGCACUUUAUUUUACUAAGAUCAUGACGAGAAUAAGGAGAUCACGAGAAAGCUAAUACUUCGCUAGCAAUUUGACAUACCUAGAGAAUAAGGCAACUCUUUUCCUCGUUCUAAAGAAAACAAAUCGAAUACAAAUUUGAAAGAAUUUUCUGAAAAUAACAAUCAAUUUAAGACGUACUGAAAUUCAAAACCACAAAGUUUCACACAUGGAUCAUUUUCCCCAUUCUAUGAACAAUUUAAUUUCCAAUCUUGCAACAGCAUAUUGUCACACUAAACUUGAGUUCUAAAGAAAGAAGACUGAGUUCUAACCACGUCAAUAGAGUCUUUAAUCUAACCAAACUAAUUCAAAGAAGCAUCUUACGAAACAGAAGGGGAUUUCAACAAUGAACUAAUUUAACAUAUUCAAAAACACACAUAGAGGAAAGGAAAACAAUCGUGUCUCAUUCAACUCAACAAAUAUCAAAUGCGAAGGAAUUUAUAACAGAGUAGGGCGAGAAAUGAACCUCUAACGAGUAACAAUUCCCUGCGAUGUUAAGACCAACAAUCUGAACCUUAAAUAUCGGAAACUCGAAUAGCGACUUCGACGAUAACCACGAAUCGCCACCGGAAAACUCGAAACCAUACACAAACUCAAAUGAUAUUCAUUUUGGAAUGAAAAUCCAAGAACAAUCCUCACAACCGCAACAACAAAGAGUAGCAAUAGCAAAAGAGGAGUCAAGUGAUAUUAGAACAGUAGGUCCUUGUCUUUACACAUGAAGAUCGUAGGCGCAAUAGCAAUAGGAAACUCAAAAAAAAACCAUGACUGAAACUCUUGAAACUCAACGAGAUGGGCCGCCUCGACUGACCUCGCUUUUCCUCCGUCUACCUCUCACUCUAUUUCAGUGACCUCUUGUUGCUGCUCUAUCCAUGUGUGUACGUUGGUGGUGAGGAGGAUGAGGGGUGGAGGUCGUUUUGGUCGGUGAAGGUCUAGAGUCGAUGAUUAUUGUGUGUUCGACGUGAGGGGUGGUCGUUCUUAGUUUUGGUUGCUGUCGAUCUCUCUUUUAGGUUUCUCUCUCAUGGCUGCUACUUUUCUCGUAGAAGAAGAUGACGCUGGAAAAGGGGGGCUGGUUGUGUAUCUGCACAGUUUUUUUGGAGAGGAUGGGGUGUGUUGUGUGCAAAAGACGACGACUGGAGGGGGGUUUUCUUCUAUAUUGUGAGCAAGAUUAAUUGGGGAACAAGUAAGGCUUGGUCACUUGAGAACUUUGUGCAAUUAGAUAGAUAUCAAAAUUUAUAAAAAUCUGAUGGUGGAAGAAUCUUUUGAAAUGAAUUUGGUAACAAAAUUCUAUCCUUUUGCCAUGGGGUGGCAUGGAUUUUCUUGUCAUUCUUUUUUGAUUUUUAUUAUUUCCCUCU